CUCCUGGAAAAGGGUGGUAAUGCCGGAUGCUCCAGUUGAUCGCAUGGUCUUCUGGGAAAGCUUUCGCGGUAUGGGAUGGGGUCGCGUCCUAUCAGCUUGACGGCGGGGUAACGGCCCACCGUGGCUUCGACGGGUAGCCGGCCUGAGAGGGCGACCGGCCACAUUGGGACUGAGAUACGGCCCAGACUCCUACGGGAGGCAGCAGUGGGGAAUAUUGCACAAUGGGCGCAAGCCUGAUGCAGCGACGCCGCGUGAGGGAUGGAGGCCUUCGGGUUGUAAACCUCUUUUAUCGGGGAGCAAGCGAGAGUGAGUUUACCCGUUGAAUAAGCACCGGCUAACUACGUGCCAGCAGCCGCGGUAAUACGUAGGGUGCAAGCGUUAUCCGGAAUUAUUGGGCGUAAAGGGCUCGUAGGCGGUUCGUCGCGUCCGGUGUGAAAGUCCAUCGCUUAACGGUGGAUCCGCGCCGGGUACGGGCGGGCUUGAGUGCGGUAGGGGAGACUGGAAUUCCCGGUGUAACGGUGGAAUGUGUAGAUAUCGGAAAGAACACCA
rnacentral:rRNA from 1 species